GUCGAGCGGUAGAGAGAAGCUUGCUUCUCUUGAGAGCGGCGGACGGGUGAGUAAUGCCUAGGAAUCUGCCUGGUAGUGGGGGAUAACGUUCGGAAACGGACGCUAAUACCGCAUACGUCCUACGGGAGAAAGCAGGGGACCUUCGGGCCUUGCGCUAUCAGAUGAGCCUAGGUCGGAUUAGCUAGUUGGUGAGGUAAUGGCUCACCAAGGCGACGAUCCGUAACUGGUCUGAGAGGAUGAUCAGUCACACUGGAACUGAGACACGGUCCAGACUCCUACGGGAGGCAGCAGUGGGGAAUAUUGGACAAUGGGCGAAAGCCUGAUCCAGCCAUGCCGCGUGUGUGAAGAAGGUCUUCGGAUUGUAAAGCACUUUAAGUUGGGAGGAAGGGCAGUUACCUAAUACGUGAUUGUUUUGACGUUACCGACAGAAUAAGCACCGGCUAACUCUGUGCCAGCAGCCGCGGUAAUACAGAGGGUGCAAGCGUUAAUCGGAAUUACUGGGCGUAAAGCGCGCGUAGGUGGUUAGUUAAGUUGGAUGUGAAAUCCCCGGGCUCAACCUGGGAACUGCAUUCAAAACUGACUGACUAGAGUAUGGUAGAGGGUGGUGGAAUUUCCUGUGUAGCGGUGAAAUGCGUAGAUAUAGGAAGGAACACCAGUGGCGAAGGCGACCACCUGGACUGAUACUGACACUGAGGUGCGAAAGCGUGGGGAGCAAACAGGAUUAGAUACCCUGGUAGUCCACGCCGUAAACGAUGUCAACUAGCCGUUGGGAGCCUUGAGCUCUUAGUGGCGCAGCUAACGCAUUAAGUUGACCGCCUGGGGAGUACGGCCGCAAGGUUAAAACUCAAAUGAAUUGACGGGGGCCCGCACAAGCGGUGGAGCA
rnacentral:rRNA from 1 species